rnacentral:rRNA from 1 species
GACGAACGCUGGCGGCGUGCUUAACACAUGCCAGUCGAACGCUGAAGCUCAGCUUUUGUUGGGUGGAUGAGUGGCGAACGGGUGAGUAACACGUGAGUAACCUGCCCCCUUCUUUGGGAUAACGCCCGGAAACGGGUGCUAAUACUGGAUAUUCACUGGUCUUCGCAUGGGGGUUGGUGGAAAGGGUUUUUCUGGUGGGGGAUGGGCUCGCGGCCUAUCAGCUUGUUGGUGGGGUGAUGGCCUACCAAGGCUUUGACGGGUAGCCGGCCUGAGAGGGUGACCGGUCACAUUGGGACUGAGAUACGGCCCAGACUCCUACGGGAGGCAGCAGUGGGGAAUAUUGCACAAUGGGCGCAAGCCUGAUGCAGCGACGCCGCGUGAGGGAUGGAGGCCUUCGGGUUGUGAACCUCUUUCGCUCAUGGUCAAGCCGCAACAAUGGUUGUGGUGAGGGUAGUGGGUAAAGAAGCGCCGGCUAACUACGUG